rnacentral:rRNA from 1 species
AUUGAGAGCUUGCUUUUGAUUAUUUUAGCGGCGGACGGGUGAGUAACGUGUGGGUAACCUGCCUUUUACUGUGGAAUAAUCGUUGGAAACGACGACUAAUACCGCAUACGGUUCUUGGAAGGCAUCUUCUAAGAAAGAAAGGAUUUAUUCGGUAAAAGAUGGGCCCGCAUCUGAUUAGCUAGUUGGUGAGAUAACAGCCCACCAAGGCAACGAUCAGUAGCCGACCUGAGAGGGUGACCGGCCACAUUGGGACUGAGACACGGCCCAAACUCCUACGGGAGGCAGCAGUGGGGAAUAUUGCACAAUGGGCGAAAGCCUGAUGCAGCAACGCCGCGUGAAGGAAGACGGUUUUCGGAUUGUAAACUUCUAUCAAUAGGGAAGAAAGAAAUGACGGUACCUAAAUAAGAAGCCCCGGCUAACUACGUGCCAGCAGCCGCGGUAAUACGUAGGGGGCAAGCGUUAUCCGGAAUUACUGGGUGUAAAGGGAGAGUAGGCGGCAAGGUAAGCGAUAUGUGAAAGCCUUAAGCUUAACUUAAGGAUUGCAUAACGAACUAUCUAGCUAGAGUACAGGAGAGGAAAGCGGAAUUCCUAGUGUAGCGGUGAAAUGCGUAGAUAUUAGGAAGAACACCAGUGGCGAAGGCGGCUUUCUGGACUGAAACUGACGCUGAGGCUCGAAAGCGUGGGGAGCGAACAGGAUUAGAUACCCUGGUAGUCCACGCUGUAAACGAUGAGUGCUAGGUGUCGGGGAGGAAUUCCCGGUGCCGGAGCAAACGCAAUAAGCACUCCACCUGGGGAGUACGACCGCAAGGUUGAAACUCAAAGGAAUUGAC